CCUACGGGUGGCAGCAGUGGUGAAUAUUGGUCAAUGGGCGCAAGCCUGACCCAGCAACGCCGCGUUAAGGAAGAAGGCUUUCUGGUUGUAAACUUCUUUUUACCUGGAAGAGCAGCAGACGGUACCUGUCGAAUAAGCCACGGCUAACUACGUGCCAUCAGCCUAGGUAAUACGUAGGUGGCGAGCGUUGUCCUGAUUUACUGGGUGUAAAGGGCGUGUAGCCGGGCUGACAAGGCAGAUGUGAAAUCCGGGGGCCAAACCCCCGAACUGCAUUUGAAACUGUUGGUCUUGAGUCUCGGAGAGGUAGGCGGAAUUCGUAGUGUAGCGGUGAAAUGCGUAGAUAUUAGGAGGAACACCAGUGGCGAAGGCAGCCUGCUGGACGACAACUGACGGUGAGGCGCGAAAGCGUGGGGAGCAAACAGGAUUAGAUACCCUUGUAGUC
rnacentral:rRNA from 1 species